GAUGAACGCUGGCGGCGUGCCUAAUACAUGCAAGUCGAGCGAACAGACGAGGAGCUUGCUCCUCUGACGUUAGCGGCGGACGGGUGAGUAACACGUGGAUAACCUACCUAUAAGACUGGGAUAACUUCGGGAAACCGGAGCUAAUACCGGAUAAUAUAUUGAACCGCAUGGUUCAAUAGUGAAAGACGGUUUUGCUGUCACUUAUAGAUGGAUCCGCGCCGCAUUAGCUAGUUGGUAAGGUAACGGCUUACCAAGGCGACGAUGCGUAGCCGACCUGAGAGGGUGAUCGGCCACACUGGAACUGAGACACGGUCCAGACUCCUACGGGAGGCAGCAGUAGGGAAUCUUCCGCAAAGGGCGAAAGCCUGACGGAGCAACGCCGCGUGAGUGAUGAAGGUCUUCGGAUCGUAAAACUCUGUUAUUAGGGAAGAACAAAUGUGUAAGUAACUAUGCACGUCUUGACGGUACCUUAUCAGAAAGCCACGGCUAACUACGUG
rnacentral:rRNA from 1 species